rnacentral:rRNA from 1 species
AAGAACGCAGCGAAAUGCGAUACGUAGUGUGAAUUGCAGAAUUCCGUGAACCAUCGAAUCUUUGAACGCAAAUUGCGCCCGAGGCUUCGGCCGAGGGCAUGUCUGCCUCAGCGUCGGUUUACACCCUCGCCCUCCCCCACCCUGCGUGGUGGGGUGCU